UGGUUGAAGGUUAGGGUUAAGGUUAGGGUUAGGUAUAGUUAGUAGAAUGGUUAAGGUUAGGGUUAAGGUUAGGGUUAGGUAUAGUUAGUAGAAUGGUUGAAGGUUAGGGUUAGGUAUAGUUAGUAGAAUGGUUGAAGGUUAGGGUUAGGUAUAGUUAGUAGAAUGGUUGAAGGUUAGGGUUAGGUAUAGUUAGUAGAAUGGUUGAAGGUUAGGGUAAGGUAUAGUUAGUAGAAUGGUUGAAGGUUAGGGUUAGGUAUAGUUAGUAGAAUGGUUGAAGGUUAGGAUUAAGGUUAGGGUUAGGUAUAGUUAGUAGAAUGGUUGAGGUUAGGGUAAGGUAUAGUUAGUAGAAUGGUUGAAGGUUAGGGUAAGGUAUAGUUAGUAGAAUGGUUGAAGGUUAGGGUUAGGUAUAGUUAGUAGAAUGGUUGAAGGUUAGGGUAAGGUAUAGUUAGUAGAAUGGUUGAAGGUUAGGGUAAGGUUAGGGUAAGGUUAGGUAAGGUAUAGUCGCGUAUAUGGUUGUUGCAAAGGCUUGUGUGCCUACUGGUUAAAUGUGUGUAUUUUCGCACAAAUUGAACCACACAAAAAUGCACAAAAAACGCACGAAAUCUGCUGAAAUACAUUUUGUACAUAUAUGCGCGAAUUGGAUGUGAGGCUGGGCUGGCUCAGAGCGUGCUGGAUAGGAUGGGCCACAGGAAACGACCGCACAUCCAGGUUUGAAUACCGUUCAGAGUGAAUGAUAUAAACCGUUUUCAUUUCUAGUUCCCCUUUCCAUAUCAACCGCAGAUCAUCAUAUGACUCGAAACUAAGUGUGACUGUGAGACAGGACAAAAUGGCACCCUGUUCCCUUCCCAGUGCACUACUUUGCACCACAGGGCCCCCGGGGCUCUGUAGGGAAUAGGGUGCCAUUAGGAACGUACACCAGAAUGUGUAACACGUCUGUGGUUUCUAUUAUCU